AUUGAACGCUGGCGGCGUGCUUAACACAUGCAAGUCGUGCGGUAACAGGCGUAGCAAUACGUGCUGACGAGCGGCGAACGGGUGCGUAAUACAUGGGAAUCUGCCCUUUAGUGGGGAAUAACCCGGCGAAAGCCGGGCUAAUGCCGCAUAAGAUCUUCGGAUGAAAGCGGGGGAUCGUAAGACCUCGCGCUGAUGGAUGAGCCCAUGUCGGAUUAGCUAGNGGUGAGGUAACGGCUCACCAAGGCGACGAUCCGUAGCUGGUCUGAGAGGACGGCCAGCCACACUGGGACUGAGACACGGCCCAGACUCCUACGGGAGGCAGCAGUGGGGAAUAUUGGACAAUGGGCGAAAGCCUGAUCCAGCGACGCCGCGUGUGUGAAGAAGGCCUGCGGGUUGUAAAGCACUUUCGAUGGGAACG
rnacentral:rRNA from 1 species